AAGCAUUUGUCACCUUGGACUGGUGGCUCAGCCACAUUUAGCCCAACCACCAAAGCUCUCUAUUCAUUACCAUAAAUAAUUAUAAAUAUACAUAAAUAUAGAAGACCUACCACAAUGAAAUAUUAAUUCAUUCGUGAACUCAUAAUGACAGUCCCUUCGUCAUUUCCUUGCAAGAAAUACAUGCUAUUCCAUCGAUAAUUGUCGACGGAAUUUUAUCGACAGAUUUAAUUCCGUCAAUAAUAUAGAAGCAACCCAAGAUGAAGAACAACAAGAAAUCCCAAACGAUAUUAAUUUGUUCUGAAAUUCGACAGAUAUACAUGGAACAUUCAUUUGAGCAAGAAUAUCAAGGCAUGAAGGAAAACAUGAAGGUACCAACAACGAGGUUGUCAAGAACCUCGACCUCGGACCUUAACAAAGGUUUAGGGUUGUUGUGGUACCUUUCCUUCAAAAGUGUAUAUACAACCUCCCCAUAUUUGGACAGUCGGACAAAUUAUGGUUAUUCUCAAACCCUAGACUCGAGACAAGUUUAGACUUUUGAAUGACAUGGUACUUUCCUUUCUAUUUUUAAGGUGAUCAAUAUGUCAUUUUCUUUUUAAUUUUUAUGGUAAUAAAUACUUGUCACCCUACCACUUGGUAGACAUCGACGAUUGAGUUUAUUAAUAUAUUUUAAAAUUUCAUUACA